rnacentral:lncRNA from 1 species
AUUUAAUCCAGAUAGGUUAAGGUUGGAUCCAGGAGCAACAGCCCCAUCCCCUGUGAGAGAAACUAACAAACAAACAAAAAACCUUUUAUCAUUUUAGGUUUACAAAGCACUUUGGAACAGGCUAUGUCAAAACUGGUCUGAAACUGAAGGCCCGUGCUCAUCCUCCUAAGCCUGCUUCGCUUUCCGUUCUCAACAAAUAGCACUGAUAUCUGCUUCGCACUCAACUGGAAAACACUUGGGAGCUUCAUCCAUGUCUAUUCUGCCCAUAUGCAAAUGUGAGCAAAGGCAGCUGAGGACCUGAGAAAUGUCUCCAGGUAUCACUGUCUCUGGGCUGGGCUGGGGUGGGUUGAGGGAGGGAGGAGGGAAAGAAAGAAAGAACUGAAUAAACAUCGAAUGAAUGGAUGGAUGGAUGGAUUAAUAAUUGUUGGACUCGAGGUGACUUAGAAGGAAAGUGAGGAGUCUAGGAUAAUUCCAGCUUUGAGGAUACAGUAAGUGGCUGGCUAUGGAUGUCUUUCCUAAGCAUAGGAAACAGCAUCAACAAAGGCUUCGGGAGCAGAUGGCUGCCUAUCAGAUAGUGACAUUCAUGAAGCAUUGGGUCCAUGUGACUAUCUGGUCCAAGGUCCGGUCAGAGCGCAUCUGGAUGAGAUAUCAUUUGAGAAAUCACCACAGUGGAAAAAUUCCUCAGAGAGGGGGUCUAGCAUGGGAAAAGUGGAGGGGACCUGAAGAACACUGUUAUGGAAGGGUGGACAGAGGACAAUCCCAUGAAAAGGACAGAGUGGAGUGUCCAGAGGUGGGAGCUCUUCACAAAGUGUCACCCAGACCACAGGGAGGUACACCCUAAGGAGAGUAACUCAUGCUUCCCAAGGCAGCAGGCAUGGCCACCACCCUUCCUCAAUGACAGGCCAGGCCCUUCCUCAGGCAGCCCCUGCCACCUGCAUGCCGUAGGUAUGGACAGGCCUGUUCUGCAUGGCUCAGAUUCCCUGGAUAGGCCAUGCCACGUCAGGCUCUAUACCUUUACUCAGCCAUUCCCUCUGCCUAUAAGAUUCACACUCACACCCCCUCAAAUUGUCACCAUCCCUCAAACACCUUCUGGAACUUUCCUCCUGCAAAGCCUUCCUAGCCUGCCCUGCCCAGUGGAGUGAGUUGACCGCUCCUUCCUCUAGGGCCUCUACCCUUCAAUGAACAUGACUCUCACAUACCACCUAUAAAAUAUUUCUGUUUCCAUAACUAUCUUCUCCCAAAUUGGAGUUCUCAGAGGACACAGGUUACCUUAUUUAUUUAUUAUCCUUAUUUAUUUAUUUAUCCUUAUCUAUCCUGGUAAUAUCAAGCAAACAUAAAGUCAGAAGUCUAAAUAUUUUACCCAGUGACAAAGAAUGAACAUGCCCAUCAACAUCACUCAGAAAACAAAUGAACACAAGUGCCAAACUCAAAACGUGGUUAGUUGAAAGUUCACCUGUGUUGGGUUUUGGUUAAGUGAAGUUCCCUUGGAAAUGACUGGGGUUCAUAUUAUUUGGGACACAUAGAGGGAUUUUUGCCCUGGCCUAUGCGAGCUCCCAAAAGUAACUACGAAUGAAUAAUCUUUGAGGGAGACAGUACCUUGCGGGGCGGGGGUAAUAUAGAAAUAUCCGUUUGUGUUGAGGCUGCCAAAUCGCCUUUCCCUUGCCCCCACUGCAUGAAGGGUGUCUCAUAAAUGCUGAAUGAUCAUAAUGACCAUGCUCAAGGGGGUGUGUCAGUGGUCAUAAAAGCUAGUUUUUAUGGAUGCUUCCUGCGUCUCCUGGUGGGUGGUUAGAAAUCAAGCAGGCCUGAUGGCCAGAGGUCUCCAUACAGGCUGCAUCUGAAAGACCUAUAAGCUUGGGUGGCAAGAAGGAGCUCCAAUCACAAGCUGAGAAGCCCAACCAUUGAUUGAUAGAGGAAGGCCACCCACACUGUGCCUUCUGGAAUCCAUUGGUGAGUCAUGGGCCAAAGGAUUAUGUCUUCAAUAUGGGCCAUCGAGCCUGAUAGUGAAGCAUUUCCUGCCUGCAGCUUCAGGGAGCUGUCCUUAAUGAGGGUGAUGACCUAUAAAGCCAAGAACAAACCAGAUGAGAGAAACAUCAUCCUCUCAUUCACACCUCUUGGGAUAGGGCUUUCUAGGCCUUUUCUGUUUGAAUCUAUAUUCUCUAGGACCUGAAUUUUUAUCUAUCCCAAUACUUUCUAUUGGAUUCAUUCAUGUCCUGGCCAUUAGCUAAGCACCUGUGCUAGAUAUUAGAAGUAUUGAGACCAAUAAGACAUGGCUCCCACUUUUGUCAAGUCAACUAUGGAGAGAUAAGAAACAUUCCUUUGUGAUGUAUUAAGUAUAUAUAACCAUGGAGGUAUGAACAAAGGGAAGAACAGGCUAUCAACAAAAUGACAUUCGUUUUGAAUUUGGAAGUCAACAGAAUCGCACCAGGCAUAUAGAAGGGAGGAAGAAGCAUGCCAGGAAUAGGGGUCAGGACCAGCACCUCCGCCUCGCAUGAGUGUCCACAGAGUCUCAGUGCUAAACCUUGAGUUGGAGUUAAAACUUGUGGUUUUAGGACUGAAUCAGACAUUGUCUUUAGAAAUGAGAUCUUCUCCAUAUUUUUAUUUCCACACCUUUUUUAUACAAGUUGGUUAAAUAUCAUUGCACAGAAUAUUAGCACUAAAAAGAUCAUUUAACCCAAGUGGUUUGUCUUUGAGAAAUUGGGACUAAGGCCCAAAGAGAGUAAAUGAUUCACCCAAAGAUACACAGCAAGAGUCAGCUUAGGACUAAGACUUGGAUCAGGACAGAAGUGCCCUUCGCUAUAAGCCAAGUGGAUAUCAAGUUUGAACAUGACUUUCUUCAAGACAUUUCAACCUCCUUGGCCAAGUUUUAGGUUUACAAAAGAGUAGGAGGAGGGGGAGGGAGGGGGAGGAUGGAAGAGGAGGAGGAGGAGGAAGAAGAAGAAGGAGCAAAACCAGCCUCCUCCUAAGAAGCAUGAUGUUACUAAUGAGACCCAUGGUUAGAUCUUCCCCCAGGCCUCUGUCUUCCAACAGCAGAGCACUCAAUUUACUGGGAGUACAGAUCUAGGGCCAUAAGAUGCCUUCUUCUGAUAUUUCUUUGAAAUAUAAGAACUCCAAGUACUUUUCCUUGUGAGUCUUUGACUACUUUUCCUCUUGCAUUACUCCACUGGGGCUGCCUGAACAAUUUACCAUAGUCUGAGUUAUUUAGAAAUGUAUCUUUCUCACACUUCUGGAAACUGAAAGUCCAUGACAUUGGGUCAGCAGAUUCGGCUUCUGGUGAGGGCUCUCUUCCAGGCCCGUAGAUGGCUGCCUUCUUCCUGUGUCCUCAUCUGGUCUUUCUUCUCCAGAGCUGCAUCUCUAGUGCCUCUUCCUUUCCUUUAAGGACACCAACCCUAUUGGAUUAUAGCUCAUCCUUAAAACCAAAUUUGACUUUCAUUAGUCCCCCCAAAACCUUACCUCCAAAUAUAGACAUGUUGAGAGUUAGAAUUUCAGCUUGUGAUUUGGGCCAAAGGUAAGGGACAUAAUUAAGCCAUAAACUCUCCAUUGUAACUCCGAAGUCUGUACGUUAAGAUUAUUUGUUUCCAUGUCUGUCUCUUCCACUGGCUUCAAAAGAAAUGGAAUAUCUCUGAAUCCAAAGCCCAGUGAGAACCAAACCAGGUUUUAUGAGAUUCCAGGUUUACAAAAAAUACGGUGGGUCUUCAUUAGGAAAAGACUAAAAUUUAGGCAUGAAGUGAAUUUAGAAGUGAGCAGUUCACUCAAGCAAAAACCCCAGAGUUUAAGCUUCAGACCUUCACCAUUUGCCUGCCUCUGGGCUUGAAGCCGAUGAUUGGGUUAACUAGCUCCUGGCAUGAGCAAGCCUGUUUUUCACUAUUUCUGUUUUGCCUCACUCCCCAAAUAAUUAACCAGUAAAGUCAGCCUUGCCUGAAAAGAAGAAUAAGGAAAACAUCAAAGAACAGUACCAGUCACACAACCUCCUUCCUAAUCAGUGAUCUUUCUUCAGGUUUACAGGAACCAGAAACUCCUGAGACUCCUGGUGACCUAUAGACAACACCGAAACUACGUCAAAAGACUCAAUUACUGCAAGAAUUGGUGCCCACCUGGCUGUGACUAAAAUUAGAUCCUCAGAAACACUUGGUUAUACUUUUGCACCUGAAAACCCCUGGCAAGAUGGAAUUUGGUGACAGCCCUACAUCUUCCACCUGCUAACCUAUUGCCAAACUCUUUCUUCUCCUGUCACCCUGCUUUGGAGUUAUUGGCUUCAUUGGGUGGCAUCAGAACUGGACCUUUCAUGACCACAGGCUCAGUAAAGAUGUAAUGCAAAAAAAAAAAAAAAAGCCUCAAGGUCUGCAGGCUGAGUUUAAAUCAUAUUUCUCAUCUCACUUUGUGCAGAUCACUUCAUCUGUGCCUCUGUAUUUCUGCAUAUGUAAAAAUGGGCUUAUAGUACCUGUUGGGUUAAGGUUGUUUUGAAGGUGCAAUAAGAUCACCUGGAAAUAUAUUAACGAUUUGCUUCCUGGCUUGCUGUCUGCGCUCCACACCAGUGUUAUUCCCACGAAAACAGACACUGCUAUUCACUGCUGAACGCCUGCAGUCCAGGGUAGUGCCUGGAAGUUCCCAGAUGCUCAAUAAUUCGAAUGUGUCUGGUAUCCACAGGUAGCUUAAGUUCUCCCAAUUGUAACCUUUGCUACGACUACUGAAUCUUAGUUAAAUGAAUAAGGACAAGAAAGAAAACUCAGACAUCAGAAAUGAUCAAAACAACUGUUAGCUAGGCUCUGAAGAGAAAGAUGGUUAAAAAUUUCAAUGUCACAUGCCUGUAAUCCCAGCAACUCAGAAGGCUGAAGUAGAAGGAUCGCAAGUUCAAAGCCAGCCUCAGCAACUUAGUGUAGGUCUUGAGCAACUUAGUGAGAUACAGUCUCAAAAAUAAAUAAACAAAUAAAUAGAUAAAUAAAUAAAAUUUUAAAAACAUAAAAAGGACUGGGAAUGUGGCUCAGUGGUUCAGUACCCCUGGGUUCAAUUCCCGGUACCAAAAAAAAAUUUCUUGUUGCUUACAUGUUUUUAAAUAUGGAAUAAUAAAACAUAUUUAGCAAAAGAGAGAAACACACACACACACACACACACACCACUGUGAAAACCCUCCUGGCAGUAGGCAGAGUAAAACAUAGGAAAACCCUAGAAAUUUGACAUGGUUUCUUGGUGACCAAGACAGCAUAUUUACUCUUGCCCAGCAGCUCCCUCCUCCCCCAGGGAGCUGAGAGUGACUGGGCUCUGCUGCCUAAGACCUGAGCUGUCAUCUCACAACCUCAAAUCAUGUCAGGGCUCCUGUCUCUUCCAACUUAGAGCUGAAAAGCCAAUCCUCCAACUUAGCGCUGAACUUUUCACCCCAAUUAAUUAAGUGAAAUCCCAUCAAAACCCCCAAAUAAGUUUUCUUGGCCUGACCUUGACGAUUCUAGUUAAAGAGACAUCGCUCCUCCUGGAAGCAUCUAUCAUUUUUAAAUGGCUCGCAGGACGGCCCAGGAAUUCAGGGAGAGUCAGGCUGUGUCCCAGCACUGGAAAGCUUGGAGAGACCUCAACACUCAAAGUCCAUCCUUCAUUACUGAUGAGGAAACUGAGGCUCAGAGACAUCGGGGGACUUUCUUGAGGCCAUAUAACUUUGUGAUUACUGUUGCUAAAAACAAUCCCAUAGAUUGCUCUAGUUUUCUACACAUUCUCACACUUGACCAUUCAGUGACUGACUCAUGGUUGAAAAUGAAGAUCUUGGCCUUGCCUUCAGGGACCUUGCUUCAGUUUCUAGUUCCUCUUCCUAUGAACUGUGUGCACCUGGAGGAAUGACUUCACCUUUCUGAGCCUCAUUUUCGUCUCUCACAGGAUGGGAGGAUGUCACGGACCUCCCUCGGGUGUUACCAAGAUAAAGUGAGAUAGCACUGACUUAAAGCUGGUGCUUAAUAAAUAUUAGUCUCUCCUUCCUUCCUCCCUGGCCCCAGUCCUUUCUUCCUGUAUUCUUAGGCACUGUGACAAAGGCAAAGAAGCCUAGCAAAAGAUCGGAGCUCCAAGGAAGUAGAUCUCCAACUGGGCUUCAGUCUUCUCAUCUAUAAAGUGUCAAGGUGGGACUAGAUGGUCUCUCCAUUGCAUCCUCCCCUGACCUGCUUCUCUGUGGUAACAGAUGCUUGCCCGUAUUCAGCAGAGAUUAAGGAGCACUUCCUCUUGGCCAGAUCCUGGGCUCGGCUGCCUGCUAUGCAGAUGUACAUGCCCUGUCCUCAAGGAACCCAUAGAAUCCUGUGGCAGAAGACAAGGGGAAAAACAGCCAUGGCAAUAAAUAUUUUAAAGAGUUCUGAGGUCAUGCAGAGGAAGGGGGAAUCGCCGGGUCAGGGGCCAGCAAUGAGGUAGUCAGAGGGGGAAACCCAGUAAGUAUUGUAGUUCUUGUCUUAUUUAAAUCAAGCAAAAAUGUUAAAAGGAAGCAGAAGUUCACCAAUCCGGGCAUGCUAUUUCUGGG